GUCUGACACAUUGACAUGUGGAUCGCAAUUUGUCACUUGCUUACAUAUUUUCUUGUGUCGGAUUUACUAUUAGCGACAACGUUGCAUACAAGGGACAUCAUUCUCCCCACUAUUGCCAUAUUACCAGACCCAACUUGUCAGAAUGCCUGUUACUCAAACACAUGUCUGUGGUAUAAGAUGACCAGCUUAUCUGAUGAUGUCAACAUGUCUGAAACAUAUAACAGUGAUAAGGGGAAGUCAACCAUCUUUAUUAUCGUCCUGUUGUUACUGAAUUCGGGUGUUAUACAUUCUUUACGACGACAUAAAAGAGCAGCGAGGAUAUCCUGUGAAGAAUCAGUGAAGACCGUUGGUAGAGUAAGCACGUGCGCCACAGAUAAGCAAGCGUGGGAUGAGCGGGUCAGAUUGAAGGCAUGUUGGGAUGUUCCACACAACUGCUCUGAUACACAGUUAUCCUAUCAUUGUCUAUUAAAUGAAUUUGGACAUGGUUUGGUAGAAGUUUGUGCAAUAUCGACAGAGAUCAUAGGAAGACGGUGUGCCGAGUUUACUCCGGGUGGUAUGUUUGUACAGGAGCACUUUGAGAAAAGUUGCAGAAGUUGUCCAUUUGCCUACAAUUCCAGCAUGAGCUACUUGUAUGAUGAGUGUUUUGAUUUUGCUGAAUCUAAAUUCACAAGUGACGGACAUACUAAUCAGCAAACAUCGGGAAAGGGAUCCAUCGGCGUAACACAUUCACAUCAAAAGUAUAAUUCGCAAUCCACGGAGCCAACUGCAGUCCCAAUGCGAUUUGUCACUGCUGUUGCAAUUGUUUUGGGGAUAAUUGUUCCUGUUAUGAGUGUCUGUAUUUUGCAAAGAUAUUAUCGCUGCAUACAGCGAUUAGGAGCUGAAGAGAAUAUGACUUUGAAGAUCAUGAAUUCAAAACAGUCGGAAGCUACACCAGACUUUACAGAUGCAUCGUCAAACAAGGCUAUUGACGGUACAAGUACUUUGAAAAGCAACGGGAACCCAGCAGAAACACCACUUCUCCAUUGGAAAAUAAUAGAAAAAACAUGAUGGAUGCAACAAUGUCACCACCUUCCUAACAACUUGAAUGAGAAAAUUAUGGAUAAAUCAUCAUAUAAUCGGAAAAUGCAGCAGAUACGAGCAGAGUAUUGCAGGAUGAAUUCGUAAAGAUAUUCAACAUUCACAUAUCUUUCGCAGAAAACUACACGUUUCGACACUGUCCAACAUAUAUACAGGUUUUGUAGAUAAUGAUAAACCACUUCACAAUGGGAAAGUAGAAACAAAAAAUGUGGUUUUGUCACAUUAACGACUUUCUAAAAUAACGCCAUGUAUAGCUUUACUCUCCUUUUGAGACAUGUUCACUCAGUUGAUAUGUCUUGUAGAACACCAAUGUUACGGUUAUUCUUUACAAUAAUGUCCUUUCAUACAAUUACAAAUUAUGCAUAGUUAAUACCUUUUCAUCUUGAUAAUCCCGCAUUUUGUAUAGUCAUAUAUAAUGUAAUUAAUUCCACUAGUCUACAAGGAAAUAACGUGAAUGUGAUGGGAGUCUUUCCAAAUACUCUAAGACGGAAACGCAGCCAUGUACAUCAUAAAAAAACCGAGAAGAAAAAACAAGUAUAACUGAUGUCACGCUUGAUUCACUUUUACCUUACGUCAACAGCCAAUUAGAUCCACAUCAUAUUCGUAAGAAAUUUUACUCUGUUCCUUUGAGAGUUUUUACGUAAGCUAUUUGAAGGAGUCACAGCUAUUCUAUACUUGGAGUUUUCAACACCUGAAUAUAGACUGAACUAUAUGAUUAUGGAUGUUGCCAAUCACAGGCUCUUUAAACCAUAUUGAAAUAUAUACGAUGUUUUAUCUAUCAAGAAUAAUAACUUCAUUCAUAUGUCGAUUCGAUAUAUCCCUACAAGCUCGAAAUAAAAGACACCACAGAGUCGCUUACUUCUGUUUCAUACUUAGAUAUUUUAUUGAAAGUAUAUUUCAACGACAAACUAACAACUCAACCUUAUGACAAACGGAAUGAAUUAAGCUUCUUUAUUGUCAACUUCCCAUAUUACGUAGCAAUAUUCCAUUAUCACCUGUAUACGGUGUUUAUAUCUAUCAGCUGAUUUGCUACGCAAGUGCUUGUUCUGCGUAUGGCUAGUUUUUAAAUGGAGACAAGCUACUGAAAAAAGAAGUUGACGGUGCAAUGUUUUCAAUAGUAUCGUUUAAAGUCUGCAUUUCGCAAAUUAUAUGGUCGCUAUAACGAUCUAGUUUGCCAAUACAACCUAUCAUUGGGUCAAAUGCUGUCUGACUUGUUUGAUACCGAUCGUUAGACCGUUCGUGGAACACUGGUUUUGACUACAUAUAACUCCGUUUACCUGAUCAAGAUUAGGAAUCUCGGCGGGAGUGAGCGUUCGACAGGGGAUGCUCAUUCCUCAUAGGCACCUGAUCCCACCUCUAGUGUGUCCAGGGAUUCAUGUUUGUCCAACUCUCUAUUUUGUAAUUAUUUCAAGAGUUGAGAUUGAUCACUUUUCGUAAUCUUCAUCUUCAUAUAUUAUCAGCUGCAUGUGAUGUUUUCGUCUCUCAACUGAUUCGAUACAAUUUUUUUCCCGUAUGAUGGGUUUUAGAUUUAGACAGACUAUUGAUGUGACAGGGUUUCAACAGUUCCGUUUAACGUCAGCGUUUUGCAUGCUCCAUGACGAUUAUAACGAUCUAGUUUGCAUAUGCAACCUGUCAUUGUGGUAAAUGAUGUCUGACGUGUUUCAUACCAACUGUGGUCCUGGAAAUAUAUAUACAGACAGCAGCAUCAUACAGAUAUAAUAUAAAAUAGUAUGUUGCAUACAUACAUGUACACUAUCUAUAUAUUUAAAAGUGAAAAUAAAUAAAUAAAUAGAUAAAAAUGAAACUGAAAAUAAUCAAACAAAAUUUGAAUGUAUAUGUUCUAAACUUCCAGAAUGAAAAAAACUAAGAUAAGCGGAUUCAAAAGUUUCCAGUGUUCGGUAAUUUUUAAAACAUUCUGGCAUAUCAUUUAAUCACCGCUGCUAUUUUGAUCAUCAUUCAACAUUUUCAUUCAGCAUUGUAUAUACAACACCAUUUAGUAGACUGUCUGAUAUAUUGAAUUAUUGCAGAUUGGUUUUUGUGAUAUCCCUACAUCAUUGUAGGACUCAUGUUCAAUUUCUGCAAGUCUGCGAUUUCCCUUUUGUGAUUAACUUUUCACUGAUUGUUUAAUACCAGUUUAUGUUUUAAUCAUUGAUAUUCAUAUGUAUAUAUUUGAUUUUCAUAAGAUUUAGCGUACGAUGCAGUCGUUGUUUCAGUCAUGUUGAUGUAUGUUAUAGGUGAUAAAGGAGUUUUUAUUUCGUUCGUUUUCUUCUGAUAUCAUUAUAUACAUGUAUCUUAGAGCAAAAUGGAAAAGUCAUUCUGUAAAGCUUCGAUCCAUGUAUUUACGCGAGCCAUAAAUGAUGACAUAUCUAUAUGUGCAUGAAUUGAAUCUAUUUUUUAAACGGAGUUAUCCGUAAUCAACAUCAGUGUGCCAAGAACAGCCUGACAAUCGAUAUGAAACACGUCAGACAGCAUCUGACACAAUGAAAAGUUGUAUUAACAGAUUGUCUAUUUAUCAAUGAAAAUAUUACUAGCUUCUAGUAUAUUUAAUAAAGGUUACAAAAUCAUUAUCCGAUGUUGGUUUUCCGCCGAACUGAACUCUCGCACACAAUUGUUAUAAAUCGGCUGGCAAGUCAAAUGAAUGAAAGGUAAAUAUAACGAAAAGUGAUCAAUCUCCUAACUCCUAUAAUGUAAAACCUACUGUUGUCAAAUCGGUUGGAAAUCAUAAUCGAUUAAUCAGUAGCAUCGGAUGACUGUAACCGAUCGAUGGUCGGCAUAUAAUUGGAUUGGAAACUUUUUGGGUUAAAAAAUAUAACAAAUGAGUAACAUUAAAAUUUCAAGAUCAUUGACACUCACUGUAUGUAGUCACUAUAGUGUGUAUAUUACUAUACAAGUGUUUUAGAUAAUAGAAAUCUUAAUUAUCAUUCACUUAUGUUAACUUUUCUGAGUCAAGUAAAAUGUUGAAUUUUCAUAUGCACAAGGUUUAUUUGAAUCUGGAAAACCAAAUGAAACAACUGUUUUAUAUAUAUACUUUCUUGCAAAUUUUACAUAUUGCCCUUUCCAUAUGGAGGGUUUUUAAUCCCGUGGGGAUCCGGGUUAGAAUAUGUCCUCAGUACCCCUUGCUUGUCGUAAAUAGGGCGGUCCUUCGGAUGAGACUGCAUAAACCGAGGUCCCGUGUUAUAGCAGGUGUGGCACGAUAAAGGUCCCUCCUUGCUCAAUGGCCAUAAGCGCCGAGCAUAGGCUUAAAUUGUGCAGCCCUUCACCGGCAAUGGUGACGUCUCCAUAUGAGUGAAAUAUUCUCGAGAGGGGCGUUAAACAAUAUUGUUAUUCAAUCAAUCAAUCGAGGGUUUUCAUUGAGGGGGCCCCGACUGCACUCUCUGCUUUUUACGGAAAUCAAAGUGUUUCCAAACAACAAACUCUGUUUUUCGUCCUUGGUGGUCGAAAACGUCUUCUUCGUCCAUUAUUUUUACACGUAUAAUUGAGAAACCCUAUCUGAUCAUUCCGGUGAUAAAUUACUUUUGGAAAAAUUCAAAAUAACUAUCACCGUAAAAAUGCAAAUACAUUUUGUUUCAUUAAUACAAUGAAUUUAAUAUUUAUUUUUGACAUUUUAAGGAGACUUUUGAGGAUCCGGAACGGACUCCUGCCGUACUAUACCUUAUUUUUAGCAUGUUUACAUGGUGGACAAAGACAGAACUUGAACGGUUGUAAAAAGACUGCAAAGCUUUUAUUUGAAUUGAAAUAGUCCAUCGUCUGGUGAAAUCUUCGACAGAAUCCAUAAUAGAGAUGACGUUUUGUCACCAAUUAAAAGACCGGGGAUUUUUGUAUUUAGGAUCUUUUAGAAUAAGUGAUUUCAGCUCCCCAUGUUCAACAAUAUCAUCAUCACCAGUGAUGGCAUGCCCAGCUGGACUAUAGUUGAAAGAAGAGAAUAACAAUAACACGUAAGCUGAUUACAUGUAAAAUGGUACAUUGUAUAUAUCUAGGCACUGUAAAGUUUGUUUAUAAUCAAAGACUUUGUAUACAAUGAUAGAAGUUUAUUUGUAGGAAAUACAGGAUGUGUACUUGAAUUUGAAAUAAGUUGAAAUAGAAGACUAAACUCUUGUAUGUCGAAGAAUGUAGGUUAUGUUGACUGCAUAUGUCCCUUUGUUUGUAAAUUGCUUGUAAAAUUCUUAAUGUAACAGAGUAAAGUUUUGUGCGAAUAUGAUUUUUCUUCGUCUUCUUUCAACUAUAGUGAAUUGUCUGUUGACGGAAAGUAAAAUGGCAUCAAACGCGACAAUCAGUUAUGCUUGGUCUUUUAUAUGAACGAUGUCCAUGGCUGUGUUUCCGUCUUUGAGUAUUUAAGAAAGAGUCCCAUCACAUUCAUGUUAUUUCCUUCUGGACUAGGCACAUUCCCUACAUCAUAUACAUUAUCAUUGCAUCUAUAUGGAGAUGUAAUACCUGGAGUCCUGAUCCAGUGAUCUUCUCGCUGUCGACAGAAAGGGAUACUUAAGCUUCUCAGUUCAGUUAAGGCUUCCCGAGAACAAUUAGAGUGCUGUAUAUAAAUGUACCCCAGUGCACUUCGCACCAUAUGACGUCACAAUAUAAACGACGUGACGACGUACAAGUUCUUACAGUUGUAUCGCGGGGAAAAUGUCAUAAUAGUAUGUCGUUAUUUACUACCGUUAUCAAGUGAUAAGCAGUAUAUUUGAAAAUUUUUCUUGUCAAAUGGUUAUCAUAUAUUAUUUCUUUUUCAUAUCAAAGCACUCAGCAUUUAUCAUAUUUAGUUUGCGCGAAAGUGAUGUUCAUUUUAUAUUGUUACCUUGAAAUCGCCCCUAUGUAUUCUCCUGAUUCCGAUUAGCACUGCGUUUUAUUUACAUAAUUAUCGCAACCAGCUGCAGUAAAUGUAAAAGUGCAGCAAUGUACAGUGUAUGGCGGUGCUUGAUGUUUAUAUCUUUAUACUCUUAAUACAUUGCUAUAUCAGAAAAGUGUUGAGAACAACUUGUAACACACAAAGAAACCCCUAUCUGGAUCUAACAAUUUCUUGCAUAUUCUCGAAUAUUAAGAAAUAUGCUGCAUUAGAUGCAUUUUAAACUUCUUUAUAUCGAAGAAUCUGUUCCCAAGACUUUUCAGUUAAUGUAAAGAAGGCUGUUUUUCAAUAUUAAAAACGUCGGCCUGCAUGUAACCGAUAUCGUUGCACUUUUGAAAAUAUCACAAUCAUCUUUGUUGAAUCUAAAUAUAUAAUGCCACGUGAUAGUCUCGUGAUGAUAAACACAUGCCUCGAUGAAAAUAUAUGGAAGCUUACUGGGUAUCGGUUUAAACGUCGUUUCGUUCUCGGAUAUUUUUCAUGAAGUAUUAUCUAUAUAAAACACUAAAGACUAUUUUAUAUAUUUAUUUUACUUUGUUUUUGGAUGGUACGCCUUAAGGUUGAUCUAUCCUCAUGUAAUGGCAUAGGUUUAUGCAAAAAUCUUAAUAAUUUAAACUUUGCGCAUGAUCGAAAUAUAUCUUCCUGGGGAAUUUUAUUCACUGGAUAUAAUAAACAAUCUGGUAAACCAUUAAUAGUGAAACAGUUUAUAUUUUCCAUAGACAAUCAGUCAUUUAUGAUUAAAAAAUGUUGUCAAGGGCAAUAACUCCUAUGCUGGAAUUUCCUCUACUGGAUGUCUAUUAUACAUUGGUUUCCCUAAUAUCUACAAUUAAUCUAUAUGUAUUUAUGAAUUAGCAGUUUUAAAUUGAUGAUAUUUGAAUUUUGUCAUAUCAAUAAGUUUUUAUGUAUUUUCAUUAUUCUGUUUAACGAAAAUAUGUGAUUUUCUGAUGAUGAUGUAUACUUCUGUAUCAACUCUCCGAAUAAAGUUACUGUAGUAAUGAUAAAUUUACCAUAUACCC